GCUUGUCUCAAAGAUUAAGCCAUGCAUGUCUAAGUAUAGUACCUUAUACUGCGAAACUGCGAAUGGCUCAUUAAAUCAGUUAUAAUUCAUUUGAUGGUACUUACUACUCGGAUAACCGUAGUAAUUCUAGAGCUAAUACAUGCGCAAAGUCCUGACUCGCGAGGGGAGGGAUGUAUUUAUUAGAUACAAAACCAAUGCGGGUUCUGCUCGCCAUUGUGUUGAAUCAUAGUAACUUAUCGAACGCCAUAGCCUUGUGCUGGGCGUAGAUCAUUCAAAUUUCUGCCCUAUCAGCUUUCGACGGUAGUGUAGUGGACUACCGUGGCGUUAACGGGUAACGGGGAAUUAGGGUUCGAUUCCGGAGAGGGAGCCUGAGAAACGGCUACCACAUCCAAGGAAGGCAGCAGG
rnacentral:rRNA from 1 species